GAUGAACGCUGGCGGCGUGCCUAAUACAUGCAAGUCGAACGCAUAGCGAAAGGUGCUUGCACCUUUCAAGUGAGUGGCGAACGGGUGAGUAACACGUGGACAACCUGCCUCAAGGCUGGGGAUAACAUUUGGAAACAGAUGCUAAUACCGAAUAAAACUUAGUGUCGCAUGACACAAAGUUAAAAGACGCUUCGGCGUCACCUAGAGAUGGAUCCGCGGUGCAUUAGUUAGUUGGUGGGGUAAAGGCCUACCAAGACAAUGAUGCAUAGCCGAGUUGAGAGACUGAUCGGCCACAUUGGGACUGAGACACGGCCCAAACUCCUACGGGAGGCUGCAGUAGGGAAUCUUCCACAAUGGGCGAAAGCCUGAUGGAGCAACGCCGCGUGUGUGAUGAAGGCUUUCGGGUCGUAAAGCACUGUUGUAUGGGAAGAACAGCUAGAAUAGGAAAUGAUUUUAGUUUGACGGUACCAUACCAGAAAGGGACGGCUAAAUACGUG
rnacentral:rRNA from 1 species